rnacentral:rRNA from 1 species
UUACCAGACUCCUACGGGAGGCAGCAGUGGGGAAUAUUGCACAAUGGGGGAAACCCUGAUGCAGCGACGCCGCGUGAGCGAUGAAGUAUUUCGGUAUGUAAAGCUCUAUCAGCAGGGAAGAAAAUGACGGUACCUGACUAAGAAGCCCCGGCUAACUACGUGCCAGCAGCAGCGGUAAUACGUAGGGGGCAAGCGUUAUCCGGAUUUACUGGGUGUAAAGGGAGCGUAGACGGCAGUGCAAGUCCGGAGUGAAAGCCCGGGGCUCAACCCUGGGACUGCUCUGGAAACUGUAAAGCUGGAGUGCGGGAGGGGCAGGCGGAAUUCCUGGUGUAGCGGUGAAAUGCGUAGAUAUCAGGAGGAACACCGGCGGCGAAGGCGGCCUGCUGGACCGUAACUGACGUUGAGGCUCGAAAGCGUGGGGAGCAAACAGGAUUAGAUACCCCUGUA